rnacentral:rRNA from 1 species
AAAUUGAAGAGUUUGAUCAUGGCUCAGAUUGAACGCUGGCGGCAGGCCUAACACAUGCAAGUCGAACGGUAACAGGAAGCAGCUUGCUGCUUCGCUGACGAGUGGCGGACGGGUGAGUAAUGUCUGGGAAACUGCCUGAUGGAGGGGGAUAACUACUGGAAACGGUAGCUAAUACCGCAUAACGUCGCAAGACCAAAGGGGGGGGACCUUCGGGCCUCUUGCCAUCGGAUGUGCCCAGAUGGGAUUAGCUUGUUGGUGGGGUAACGGCUCACCAAGGCGACGAUCCCUAGCUGGUCUGAGAGGAUGACCAGCCACACUGGAACUGAGACACGGUCCAGACUCCUACGGGAGGCAGCAGUGGGGAAUAUUGCACAAUGGGCGCAAGCCUGAUGCAGCCAUGCCGCGUGUAUGAAGAAGGCCUUCGGGUUGUAAAGUACUUUCAGCGGGGAGGAAGGGAGUAAAGUUAAUACCUUUGCUCAUU